GUGGGGAAUUUUGGACAAUGGGCGCAAGCCUGAUCCAGCCAUUCCGCGUGCAGGAUGAAGGCCUUCGGGUUGUAAACUGCUUUUGUACGGAACGAAAAGCCUCUGGUUAAUACCCGGGGGUCAUGACGGUACCGUAAGAAUAAGCACCGGCUAACUACGUGCCAGCAGCCGCGGUAAUACGUAGGGUGCGAGCGUUAAUCGGAAUUACUGGGCGUAAAGCGUGCGCAGGCGGUGAUGUAAGACAGUUGUGAAAUCCCCGGGCUCAACCUGGGAACUGCAUCUGUGACUGCGUUGCUGGAGUGCGGCAGAGGGGGAUGGAAUUCCGCGUGUAGCAGUGAAAUGCGUAGAUAUGCGGAGGAACACCGAUGGCGAAGGCAAUCCCCUGGGCCUGCACUGACGCUCAUGCACGAAAGCGUGGGGAGCAAACAGGAUUAGAAACCCGGGUAGUCC
rnacentral:rRNA from 1 species